AAAAUAUUUUCGCAAAAAUAAACGAGUACAGUAAAAGAACCCGAUUAUAUCUGUGUUCAAGGAAAAGAGAUGAUUAACACUUUGGCCACAGAAUAAUAAAAGUCUAGUUUAGUGACAAUAACGUUGGGUGGGUCCGCAUAAUGAGGUACCUGGUCGGAUGUCCACGGGAGAGAAUCUAAAAGAUGCGAAGAUGUGACAUCACUCUUUUCUGACGCUCUUAAACGUG
rnacentral:misc_RNA from 1 species